AGACGUCUAUCACUAUUUAACACCGACUGUUAUUACGACCCAGGAUGGAACGCCGUCGUUCUUCCUUUGAGCCUCUUCAACAUUUCAAUACCAACUUCAGCAAAGGAAGGGAUGUUUCAUAUUCCAAGAAUAGGCCCUCGCCUCUCCAACUGUCUCUUCGAGGCCACUUUCGGAACAAGUGCCUUGAAUGCACUUAGUAUAUCUCGGACUGAAAUGACAUCGAAGUUCUUUGAGACGACAUCACGGUGCUUGGAGGAACACUACAAUUCAUCAA
rnacentral:lncRNA from 1 species